AUUGAACGCUGGCGGCAGGCCUAACACAUGCAAGUCGAACGGUAACACGAUGCAGCUUGCUGCUUCGCUGACGAGUGGCGGGCGGGUGAGGAAUGUCUGUGAGACUACCCGAUGGAGGGGGAUAACUACUGGAAACGGUAUCUAAUACCGCAUAUCGUCGCAAGACCAAAGAGGGGGACCUUAGGGCCUCUUGCCAUCGGAUGUGCCCAGAUGGGAUUAGCUAGUAGGUGGGGUAACGGCUCACCCAGGCGACGAUCCCUAGCUGGUCUGAGAGGAUGACCAGCCACACUGGAACUGAGACACGGUCCAGACUCCUACGGGAGGCAGCAGUGGGGAAUAUUGGACAAUGGGCGCAAGCCUGAUGCAGCCAUGCCGCGUGGAUGAAGAAGGCCUUCGGGUUGUAAAGCACUUUCAGCGGGGAGGAAGGGAGUAAAGUUAAUACCUUUGCUCAUUGACGUUACCCGAAGAAGAAGCACCGGCUAACUCCGUG
rnacentral:rRNA from 1 species